GGGUGCGAUCAUACCAGCGUUAAUGCACCAGAUCCCAUCAGAACUCUUCAGUUAAGCGCGCUUGGGCUAGAGUAGUUCUGGGAUGGGUGACCUCCCGGGAAGUCCUAGUGUUGCACACU
rnacentral:rRNA from 1 species